rnacentral:sRNA from 1 species
AGUGCGCAGGCGCACGGCGUCGGCCUCCGACUCGCCCCUCCCUCUGGGGCGCGGGCCUCAGUUCCGGGCUACAGCAGCCGACGCCGAGAGGCACCGUUUCUUCUUAAAAGAGAAACGCUGCGCGCGCGAGCCUCUGGUGCACAUGGCUUCCUCCCCGGCGGUGGACGUGACCUGCAGGCGGCGGGAGAAGCGGCGGCAGCUGGACGCGCGCCGCAGCAAGUGCCGCAUCCGCCUGGGCGGCCACAUGGAGCAGUGGUGCCUCCUCAAGGAGCGGCUGGGCUUCUCCCUGCACUCGCAGCUCGCCAAGUUCCUGUUGGACCGGUUAGGGGCCGGGAGAAGGGCUUGGGGGAGGGUACCCAGGCAGCAGCCCCUAGCCUCCUCUCCAGGGCCUGUCCUGCUGCUCUUUUCCACCCUCAGGUUUCUCACUUUACCAGGACGGCCUGUGUGACUUGUGGCCUCCGAGGGUCCUGCUCCCCUCCUCAUGGUCUCAGCGAAUAGCGGCCCUUAGGGCUGGCCCCUUACAUGUGUGAGUGCCCAGGGCUGAGGGUGGCUGGCCACCUGAGUCCUGACCUGCCUCUUCUCCUGCU